AACGAACGCUGGCGGCAUGCCUAACACAUGCAAGUCGAACGAGACCUUCGGGUCUAGUGGCGCACGGGUGCGUAACGCGUGGGAACCUGCCCUUAGGUUCGGAAUAACUCCCCGAAAGGGGUGCUAAUACCGGAUAAUGUCUUCGGACCAAAGAUUUAUCGCCUUUGGAUGGGCCCGCGUUGGAUUAGCUAGUUGGUAGGGUAAAAGCCUACCACGGCGACGAUCCAUAGCUGGUCUGAGAGGAUGAUCAGCCACACUGGGACUGAGACACGGCCCAGAAUCCUACGGGAGGCAGCAGUGGGGGAUAUUGGAAAAUGGGCGGAAGCCUGAUGCAGCAAGGCCGCGUGAGUGAUGAAGGCCUGAGGGUUGUAAAGCUCUUUUACCCGGGAUGAUAAUGACAGUACCGGGAGAAUAAGCGCCGGCUAACUCCGUG
rnacentral:rRNA from 1 species